UAAGGGUUACGAGACCAAGAUGGAGAACUAGAUUAGAGCAGACGUUAUUCCCUAGUCCUCAGAAACUCUCAAAAUACCCCCAGAUAAGAAUUAUAUUUAAAAGGAAGAGGAAUUGAAGUUACCUUCAAAGAACAAAACACAGAGAACUUUAACAAGGUUCCAUAUCUGUCUCAAGCUGUGGGACUUCUACUCAUCUUCUUCCUGAUUUACCAGUUCAGUAUUUAUCAAAAACAACAACAAAAUGAGCAUUCAUCGGAAGCAGCUCAGUGGUACCGUGGAAAGAGCGUUGGAUCUGGAGUCAGGAAUACAGGGAGGAAUGCUCACUCUUACUUACAUAUUUCAUUUUUGUGCAUGGGUCCUAGUCAUUCCUCAUGAAGAUUCCUGUGGAGGGCAUCUUUCCAUAAGGGCAUCUUUCAACCAGAACUUCAGUCAUCUGCAGUAGGUGUCUUAGACUAUACAGAAGAUGGACCCUCCAGAAGCCUUCUCAGCCUCUUCCAAAGGAGCCUACCCACCCUGUCUAGGCCCAGGGAGAGCUGUCAGAAAUACUUAGUUGUGCCUCUUGGGAUCCAGGAAGUAAUUGUCUUUGCAAUUCUCUACAUAUGUCCUGGUUUAUCCUUCCCAUUCUUUAUGACUAUUUUCCUGAAGUUGGAAGGCCAUAGGCUACUGUUUAGAGCCUGGCCAUGGUCAUCAGCCAGUGACCUCAGGAUGGACCAGUACCCACACUCAGGAUAAUCUCCUUACUAAAGAUUCAGUGUCAUAUCCUCUGUAUCCUGGCACCUGGAGGGUACAAAGGGUGGGGAUGAGAUAUAUGAGCAGGUAUUCACUUCCUUGCUAUUUAGAGGAAGCAUGCGACUUUGCCUUCUGUCCUCCUCAUCUUUAUGAUCCCAGGAGCAUGGUUGGGGUCCAGAAGCAGGCAUCGUGGCGAUUAGAGCCAAGGCCCCAAUGUCACAGUGGACCACAACCAUGGCCCUCAUAGCCUUUAAUCAUCUUAGCAAAUCCAUUCACAUGGCAGAAACCAACUUUGGAGAUAGUUUCGCAGAUUUUUCAAAAAGACAUGAGAAAUCAUUAGUUUACAUAUGGUAUGAAUUGAAAAUUACCCAUGUGUAAAAAUAUCCUGUACAAAAAAUAGUUCUAGUUUCCCUUAGCAGAGGCCUUCAGGUGCCUGGAGAAGCUACUAAGUGCCAGAUCAAAUGGGGAGAGAUCCAGGAGGACGGAGACCUUCUGUCCUUACCUUGUAGAGAGGGGAUGGAGCGCGUGGCCAGACUGUAACUGCUUUCAAACAGACAUCCUGGACCCGCAGGGACCUCUGAGGGCUGAUCACCUGGUCAAGUGCUUGGCGGAGGCGCGAGGAGGUGAGCCUCGGCUUGGGCUCCCGCUCGGGUCAUGAAUGCUAGCAGUCACUUCGGGUUCCUAUGUCAGUGGGGAGUAUUGUCCAGCCUUAUGUACUUUGAAGCAGACAGCAUGGGGAUAUUGGUAGAGGCCUCAUUGUCUAGCUAGGUAGUGGCCAUUGUCCUAUAUGUGCAUGUGCCAACUCCAUUAAUUCCGAGUUUCUAGUUGAUAAGGUGACUAGGCCCUGCCUGUGGCCCCGGAGCUCUGACCGUUCAUAGCCCUCUUCUUGCCCGGGGGCAAGCCGAUUCCACAUUUGACACACUUGGUUUGCAAUAUAUAGAACCACAGAGUCCUUUUUGGGGGUGCACGUACCUGACUGCCCCGAUAAUGAACAUUUCUCCUUUUUUAGCAGGAAUGUUUUAUUUGCGUGUUUUGUUGUCGUACAUGGUUCAUAGAAGUCAUUCCUUAUUAAGAUUCCAGGGGUGUCUUUCCUUAAGUGAGUCCUGCUUCCAGUCGGGAAUCUCAGGCAUCUUCAUUGGAUGUCACAACCCACACACAUGAUGGACUCUCCAGAGGCCUUCUCAGCUUCUUCCAAUGGAGUCCACCUAGCCUAGGCCCAGGAUGAACUGUCAGGAAGGCCCAGUCGCGCCUCUGGGGGGGCAGCCUGUCCCGGAGGCAGGGGAGAGAACCUUCCUUGCUAUGGUGGUUUUCCUCCUCAGAAGGCAGGAUGUCUCCAUAUCCAGAGCUCAGAAGGUCAGCAUCAGCCUCACCCCGUAUACCCCAAGGCCCCGAGCCAUGGAGUUGGUGCUGUGAGAGCAGCCCAGGGAGAGAGAGAGAGGCAAGCUUCUUAUACUUGUCUUUAAAGGUCAAGGGUCACAUCCUUUUCUUGGGGGCUGGGGCACAGGCUACAGUCAGGGUUGUUAGGGGCAGAGGGGAGGGGGAGGCCCGACCCCGCCUCUCUGAUAGCCGACCAGGGAUUCCUGGAGCCAGGGGCCUCGCCUUGGAUCUCUAGGUCAGUCCUUAUGGUGGCACGCCCCUCAGCCCAGAGUCGUCUUAGGGCAUUCCAGUGGGUCCUGGGCUCCGCUCCCUGACGGGAACUGACGGGGCCGGGGUGGGCUGGGGCGGCACGGCGGGAGGGGAAGCAGGAAUAGAGAGGGAGAGGCCCGGCCCUCUUGGCUAGGCUGUCCUCCCCAAGGGGAGGAGGAGAUCUAGGAGGUCAUUGUCUUUGCAACCUUCCACACAUUUCCCACUUGGAAAGACAGUGCGUGGGGAUGGCAGCAAUCUGAGAAGGGCAGCCAAAGCCGGGGACAAGGCCAGGUCCCCCGGGUUGGUCAGAGGCAGAACUCGGGCGGCCCAGCUCCCUUUGUCCUCUCUUAGUGGUGGUGGUGACUUUCAAGGAGCCACAGUGGGCACAGCAGGGCCUCUGGGGGCUAAUUAUGAGCGUCCUGGUCAGGGCCUGUUCUUGGGACUGAGCAGGGAUCAGCCGAGGAGGCAAGCCAAGCCAAGGCCUCUACACAUCUCCUGGAUGCCAGCAGCCACGUUGGGUUCUAGCCUUAGGGGGGGAGCGGUGCAGCCGAGCAUUAUAUACUUUGAAGCAGAUACCAUGGUGAUGUCAGGGGACUCCUCAGUGUCUAGCUGGGUAGCAGCUGUUGUCCUGGACGGGCACACGUCGGCACCAUCAUUUCUGAGUCUAGUUGAGGUGAUUGGGCCCUGCCUCUGGCCCAGGAGUUGUUGCCUCCUCUAGUGGUUCUAAUAUUGCCAGAGGCCGGAACCAUUCCACAAAUGGCAGCCCCUGUCCCUCGCCCUCCUGCCCAGGGGAGGACUUCUCAGGCCAUGCCCCCUGAGGGGCUGAGGGAUGGACAGGAAGGGGAACAAGGAGGGAGAGCAGAUAGGCACAUCCCAGGAUGGGGGUCUGGGGAGGCUAUUCUGAGACUAGACCCCCCCCCCUUCCCUCAUGCCGCUGUCUGCCCUACAAGAGGAUGACGUCCUGAUUCUUUAAAGGGCUGUUCCCUGUGGGUGAUAGCGAUCCUUUUAGUUAAUUUAAUUGAAGAACUUGGAUUGAUGAGUGUUCUAACAGUACAAACCCAUCUACACCUUCUGAUCCUUUCAACUGUAGUCCAUGUCCACCUAUAAAUCAGCCAUAAGGAGAUCACACGCUGUGGGGCUGCCUUCAGAUCUCUUGAUACAAUGUAUGUACCAAGGGAGCACAAAGAUUUCAUUGAUCCAGUAAUUCCUUUCAUUAUUGGCCCAUUUACUCUUUUGGGGCUACAUCUUUUUAAGAUGUUUGCCCAGCAUAAUUCUUUAUUGGUAACCUGCUGCAGUCUAUUUACAGGCCUCAUGUAGCUUCCCAUUGGCCUUUGGAUGACUUCCAACUUUCUUUGGAAAUUAUAGUAUUCUAAGCUUUAUGUCUCUAUUGCAUCAGAAGAUGACUUUUAAGCUUUUCUAAUACAAAUAAAAGUAAAACAAAGCCAGAUGCUGAAAAUCUAAGAACCCAGAGGAGAGAGGAAGAAAUAGCUCACUGGGGGAAAGUGAGAAACAAUGGUAGGACUGGAUACACUAUCAAAUAAAGAUAGAAUUGGUUUGUUUAAUCAUUUUUCUUUACUACUAGGGAAGGCUCUCUUUGGCAGAAGGGAGAAGUAAUAUAUCCCAAAACUAUGUUAAAUAUAAAAAUAACAAAUAGAACUUUAAAAAGGAAUUAGUUGUGUUUUUAAAGUGGGCCUUGAAACAAUUCAAAAGCUUGGGGUGGGGGGGGUACUAAAAGCAUUUAGCAAUUUCCCAAAGGCAGUUCAGCUUACUACUUUUUAGUUCUAGGCCCAGCUCAUUGCUCUGUAUAGUGCUUUACAAGAUAUAUGUAAUGAUACACCAACUUUAGAGAUUAUCCAUCUCCAUAUUCUGGAUAUAUUCUCAUUUUACAGAUGAGGAAACUGAGGCUCUGGGAAGUUAAUACAGUUAUAAAAUCUCAAAAAGGAUUUGGACCAUAGUUUCUUGAUCAAAGGCUAACACUCUUAUCCACUAUUCUGUAUUGGCCUUUCAAUUCUCUUUUCCUCCUUGAUUUAAUGCUUAAAAUGGUUUCUGUAACAUUCUGCUAUAAUAAUUAGCUUGUUUUAAGCUUGUGGGCAGUUAAGAUGGCACAGUGCAUAGAGCAAUGGGCCUGGAGUCAGGAAGACAUCUUCUAAAUUCAAAUCUGGCCUCAGACACUUGCUGUGUGACCCUGAGGCAGGUCACUUAAAAACUUUUUGCCCCAGUCUCCUCCUCUGUAAAAUGAGCUGGAGAAGGAAAUGACCAACCACUCAGGUAUACUUGCCAGGAAUCCCCCAUGUGGAGUCACAGAAGUGGACAUGACUGAAAAUGAAAGAUGUCAAAGAUAUGCCAGGCCUAAAUUCUUCAAGGAAUGGUCUUUAUUGAUUUCCCCUUUUACCUCCAAAUCACUUAUGUUUUAUUUUGUGUAUAUCCUGUGGGUGAUUAUCUGUGAAUACAUUGUAUUCCCCAAGUAGAAUGUAAGUUCCUUGAGGGUAAGGUCUGUCACACUUUUGUAUGUGCUUAAUAAAUGCUUGCCCCUGAGGUGAGCAAACUCGAACCUUACCAUGGAAUGGCUAUCUCUUAUCUUCGUUGCUUAAAGGAUUGGGUGCACAGGACUUUGUUUCUCGAUAAGUCUGGACAUCUUGGAGCUUGAGGUUGAUUUCAUUGGUUAAGGAUAUUGUGGAAUCAGAAUAAACCCUUUGAACUGGGUCUAUAAAUGAGGAUAUCUUAAAGCAGUCAGUGGGUGGAGAGAGAACAGAGCACACGAACAAGUAUAGAUACCUAGGAUCCUGGGCCAGAGUGAGCUGAAAUUUUGACCUAGUUUUCACAAGAAAGUGAUAUUAAGCAUCAAUUUGUC